rnacentral:rRNA from 1 species
UUGACCUCGGAUCAGGUAGGGAUACCCGCUGAACUUAAGCAUAUCAAUAAGCGGAGGAAAAGAAACCAACAGGGAUUGCCCCAGUAACGGCGAGUGAAGCGGCAAGAGCUCAAAUUUGAAAGCUGGCUCCUUCGGGGUCCGCAUUGUAAUUUGCAGAGGAUGCUUCGGGAGCGGUCCCCAUCUAAGUGCCCUGGAACGGGACGUCAUAGAGGGUGAGAAUCCCGUAUGGGAUGGGGUGUCCGCGCCCGUGUGAAGCUCCUUCGACGAGUCGAGUUGUUUGGGAAUGCAGCUCUAAAUGGGUGGUAAAUUUCAUCUAAAGCUAAAUAUUGGCCGGAGACCGAUAGCGCACAAGUAGAGUGAUCGAAAGAUGAAAAGCACUUUGAAAAGAGAGUUAAAAAGCACGUGAAAUUGUUGAAAGGGAAGCGCUUGCGACCAGACUCGCUCGCGGGGUUCAGCCGGCAUUCGUGCCGGUGUAUUUCCCCGCGGGCGGGCCAGCGUCGGUUUGGGCGGUCGGUCAAAGGCCCUCGGAAGGUAACGCCCCUAGGGGCGUCUUAUAGCCGAGGGUGCAAUGCGACCUGCCUAGACCGAGGAACGCGCUUCGGCUCGGACGCUGGCAUAAUGGUCGUAAGCGAC